rnacentral:rRNA from 1 species
UACGAAGGGGGCUAGCGUUGCUCGGAAUCACUGGGCGUAAAGCGCACGUAGGCGGAUUGUUAAGUCAGGGGUGAAAUCCUGGAGCUCAACUCCAGAACUGCCUUUGAUACUGACGGUCUUGAGUUCGGGAGAGGUGAGUGGAACUGCGAGUGUAGAGGUGAAAUUCGUAGAUAUUCGCAAGAACACCAGUGGCGAAGGCGGCUCACUGGCCCGAUACUGACGCUGAGGCGCGAAAGCGUGGGGAGCAAACAGG